rnacentral:rRNA from 1 species
UACGUAGGGGGCAAGCGUUGUCCGGAAUUAUUGGGCGUAAAGAGCUCGUAGGCGGUCUGUCGCGUCGGUCGUGAAAACUUGGGGCUUAACCCUGAGCUUGCGGUCGAUACGGGCAUGACUGGAGUUCGGUAGGGGAGACUGGAAUUCCUGGUGUAGCGGUGAAAUGCGCAGAUAUCAGGAGGAACACCGGUGGCGAAGGCGGGUCUCUGGGCCGAUACUGACGCUGAGGAGCGAAAGCGUGGGGAGCAAACAGG